rnacentral:misc_RNA from 1 species
GUGAAUCAUCAAAUUUUUGAACGCAAAUUGCACUCUCUGCUGAGAGGAGGGCUGUUUGAGGUUCAGCCUAAAUAAAAUCGACAUAGUUGCUGUGACGCUGUAACAUUCGUCUGAAAGGGGGUCAUCUUAAACCUUUGGGGUGAAGCGUCUUAAAAUUUUCUUUACGAUUCCAAGAACGUUUCUAAG